rnacentral:rRNA from 1 species
AGUGAACGCUGGCGGUAGGCCUAACACAUGCAAGUCGAACGGCAGCACAGUAAGAGCUUGCUCUUACGGGUGGCGAGUGGCGGACGGGUGAGGAAUACAUCGGAAUCUACUUUUUCGUGGGGGAUAACGUAGGGAAACUUACGCUAAUACCGCAUACGACCUACGGGUGAAAGCAGGGGAUCUUCGGAACUUGCGCGAUUGAAUGAGCCGAUGUCGGAUUAGCUAGUUGGCGGGGUAAAGGCCCACCAAGGCGACGAUCCGUAGCUGGUCUGAGAGGAUGAUAAGCCACACUGGAACUGAGACACGGUCCAGACUCCUACGGGAGGCAGCAGUGGGGAAUAUUGGACAAUGGGCGCAAGCCUGAUCCAGCCAUACCGCGUGGGGGAAGAAGGCCUUCGGGUUGUAAAGCCCUUUUGUUGGGAAAGAAAAGCAGCAGGUUAAUACCCCGCUGUUCUGACGGUACCCAAAGAAUAAGCACCGGCUAACUUCGUG